GAGAGAAGCCCGAAGGCAAUAGAGACUGCUGUUCUCUGCCCCUACGGUUUGACUCCGUAGUCCCCUCG
rnacentral:tRNA from 1 species